rnacentral:tmRNA from 3 species
UUUGGCUUCGACGGGGGUAAUGAUGGGUUUGGUAAGCGAGUGGAGGUAAGCAUGUUCCCUCCUAAAUCAAAUAUGCAUUAAAUAUAAACGCAGAUAAUAAUAAUUUUGCAUUAGCAGCUUAAUAUAAGCUACUCAUCCGCCCAGGUUGCCUACGGCUUGGAUUACGGGUGUCAAAUGAGUGGGACACGAAUCUUAGCAAAGCUUUGAGCUAAGGGGGUAUUUAUGAAGCUAGCAAAUUAUGUGCCCGUCUAUAGGCGGCAUAAUGAGCGAAUGUAAUAUGUAGACUACACUCGUAGAAAGUCAGACUGGUCUACUUUCGGACAGGGGUUCGAUUUU